CGCAGCAUUUGAUUCUGUUUUGGCUUCGUUUGAAACUGUAUUCCACGGUGGGUUGAAACUGGAAAAGUAACUGGCAAUAUCUUGUCUGAAAUCAACAGGACAUGACUUGGCGACAUAUAGACGAGAGGCUAUUGAGUUGCUAGACUGCUUGUGCUGUAACCCGGGCAAUGAGACAGAGAGCAAUGCUCAGCAGUUCAGCUGGAAUCCUAAACACAUUGCAAAGAUUUGCUGUCAUACUUGGGGAAAAUGAAUUAUGUUGACAUAUGGCUGAAAACAAUGGUGGAAAGGCAUGCAACGUAAGGCAAUGAAGA